rnacentral:lncRNA from 1 species
GGGCUGAGGCCAGACUGUGCCAGUGGCACAACUAUUAUCUGAACGAACCUGGCAAAUGUGCUACAUUUGAGGCUGAGACAGGGAGGAAUGGCUGCUUCUCCACCCAGAUAUCCACGGCUUCUUUCAACCUGACCAGCCCCGACUAUGAGAGGCGGCUCUACGCCAAUGCAAUUCUGACAGAGCGGAGGACUGGGAAUUUUUAUAGACUGACUAAAAGCUGUAACAUUCUGCCUGAAAUGCCCACAGCUGCAUUCAAGAACACCGAUGGUUUCUACAAGCAUGGGAUGCCCCCCACUGGCACGGGUGAUCUCAAGGAGGUGCCUCUGCCCUCAAAGCACGAAAGCCGAAAUGACAGUACCGUCCUGAAUUCCUCCUCUUCGGACAGCCAAAGUUUCUUGAAGAUCCACAGGAUGAAAAGGACGCCACCCUGCAGAAAGCCCCUGCGACUCCGGGUAGAUUACGUCCUCAACAAGGAGGCCCUGGGGACCGAGCUGCAGAGCGUGGAUGUGGUCUUCCUGGUCAUGGCCAGAGAUACCAUUGUCAGCGUCCUCAGGAAGGAGCUGACCUUGGAGGCAGGUA